UUCUUCGCUCGCAUCCUUCGUGAGGCAGCAGCAGGGGCUGCCUCCUGCCUUCAGUGCAAUAAGCAGUCACGCCAGGGGCUCAGGGAAUCUGUGGCGAAUCUCUGCAGCCGUGAAGAAAUCUCAUUCUUCCUCUGAACCCUUCGCGAAGGGAACGUUUCUAGCUGAUGACCCAGGAUCACCGACGCCACGGCCUGCAGCUUUCGCUGAAGCCGGCCGCCGCACCUCCGGUCCCUCCUCCUUCCCAAGCCUCGAGAACAGUGUACAGAAGCCAGACAGCCCUGAACUCAACCGGAUAAGCAGUGGAUGAAGGACAUUACAGAAACACACCAUCAUGACCUCUACUUCCUUCCAAAACUCCUAAAAAAAAAAAAACCCACAACUGAUAUCAGAUGUUCUGAGUAUGCUUAUUACAAGUAUCACAAGACAUACCAAAAGCCCAUUCCAAAGCACAUGAUGCGUAAGCAUGCAGAUCACAUACUUGUUACAGCAAAGUUUUAUUCCCUUACCUUU